rnacentral:rRNA from 1 species
UACAGGGGGGUGCAAACGUUGCUCGGAAUUAUUGGGCGUAAAGCGCGCGUAGGCGGCUUUGCAAGUCGGGUGUGAAAUCCCCAGGCUUAACCUGGGAACUGCAUUCGAGACUGCAUUGCUAGAGUAUGGGAGAGGGAAGUGGAAUUUCCGGUGUAGCGGUGAAAUGCGUAGAUAUCGGAAGGAACAUCAGUGGCGAAAGCGACUUCCUGGACCAAUACUGACGCUCAUGUGCGAAAGCGUGGGGAGCAA